GACGAACGCUGGCGGUGCGCUUAACACAUGCAAGUCGAGCGAGGACCCAGGCUUCGGCCUGGGGGAAAGCGGCGAACGGGUGAGUAUCACGUGGGUAAUCUGCCCUCGGCAUCGGGAUAGCCCGGGGAAACCCGGAUUAAUACCGAAUGGCCCAUCCGCUCUUCGGAGUGGCUGGAAAAGGUAGCUUCGGCCUCCGGCCGAGGCGGAGCCCGCGGCGGAUUAGCUUGGUGGUGAGGUAACGGCUCACCAAGGCGACGAUCCGUAGCUGGGAUGAGAGGACGAACGGCCACACUGGAACGGGGACACGGCCAAGACUCCUACGGGAGGCAGCAGUGGGGAAUCUUGCACAAUGCGCGAAAGCGUGAUGCAGCAACGCCGCGUGCGGGAAGACGGCCUUCGGGUUGUAAACCGCUUUCAGUUGGGACGAAGGUCGGAGCGUUAAUAGCGGGUCCGACUGACGGUACCUUCACAAGAAACUCCGGCUAACUACGUGCCAGCCGCCGCAGUAAAAC
rnacentral:rRNA from 1 species